UUCGCAAUGCCCGAAAGGGUGACGAAGCGACGCCGCGUGUGGGAAGAAGGCCUUCGGGUUGUAAACCACUGUCGGGAGUUAAGAAAUGCAAGGAUAUUAAUAGUGUCUUUGUUUGACUAAGGCUCCGGAGGAAGCCACGGCUAACUCUGUGCCAGCAGCCGCGGUAAUACAGAGGCGGCAAGCGUUGUUCGGAAUUAUUGGGCGUAAAGAGCACGUAGGCGGCUAUGUAAGUCGGUUGUGAAAGCCUUCCGCUCAACGGAAGAACAGCAUCCGAUACUACAUGGCUUGAGUGCGGGAGGGGAGAGUGGAACUUCUGGUGGAGCGGUGAAAUGCGUAGAUAUCAGAAGGAACGCCGGCGGCGAAAGCGGCUCUCUGGCCCAUAACUGACGCUGAGUGUGCGAAAGCUAGGGGAGCAGACGGGAUUAGAUACCCCGGUAGUCCUAGCCGUAAACGAUGGGCACUAAGUAGAGGGGUUUU
rnacentral:rRNA from 1 species